UACGUAGGGCGCAAGCGUUAUCCGGAAUUAUUGAGCGUAAAGAGCUCGUAGGCGGUUUGUCGCGUCUGCCGUGAAAGUCCGGGGCUCAACUCCGGAUCUGCGGUGGGUACGGGCAGACUAGAGUGAUGUAGGGGAGACUGGAAUUCCUGGUGUAGCGGUGAAAUGCGCAGAUAUCAGGAGGAACACCGGUGGCGAAGGCGGUGGUCUGGGCCGGAACUGACGCUGAGGAGCGAAAGCGUGGGGAGCGAACAGG
rnacentral:rRNA from 1 species